CGGAUCGCAGCCUGCAACCCGGCCUGCGUGAAGCUGGAAUCGCUAGUAAUCGCGGAUCAGAAUGCCGCGGUGAAUACGUUCCCGGGUCUUGUACACACCGCCCGUCACACCAUGGGAGCCGGAAACGCCCGAAGCCAGUGGCCUGACCGCGAGGAGGGAGCUGUCGAAGGCGGGUCCGGUGACCGGGUGAAGUCGUAACAAGGUAUC
rnacentral:rRNA from 1 species